GCCUGCGCAGAGCGGGACCACGGACUGCAACGCUGAGGGGACGCGAGGCUUUCGCGCUCCCGGCAGGAGGUAUAUCUCUAUGAAUGACUUAAAUGAUCCUCCAAAUUGGAAUAUCCGACCUAAUUCCAGGGCUGAUGGCGGUGAUGGAAGCAGGUGGAAUUAUGCCCUAUUGGUUCCAAUGCUGGGAUUGGCGGCUUUUCGUUGGAUUUGGUCUAGGGAGUCCAAGAAAGAAAUAGAAAAAGAGAGAGAAGCAUACCUUCAGAGAACUACUGCUUUCCAGAAGGAUCUUGAAGCCAAGUACCAUGCUAUGAUCUCAGAAAAUCGGCGUGCUGUUGCUCAGUUGUCUUUGGAACUUGAAAAGGAACAAAACAGAACAGCUAGUUAUCGAGAAGCCCUUAUCUCUCAGGGGCGCAAGUUGGUAGAAGAAAAGAAGCUUCUGGAACAGGAACGGGCCCGGGUGAUGCAAGAGAAAAGGCAGUUACAGCCUCUGAAAGCUGUGUAUCUGAGCUGCCUGGAAAAGGAGGACGACUGGCAAAGGAGAGCCAAGCUCUUGCUGAAAGAGUUUGAAGAUGCUCUUACCAAAAGGCAGGGUAUCUACUGUAGUCUGUUUCUCUCUCGCCACAAGCGGCUGGAAUUAGAGAACAACUUGCUGGUGCGAGCAUCUGUUGACCCAGUCGCUGCUGACCUAGAGAUGGUGACUGGCUUAGUUGACAUAUUUAAGCAUGAUACAUAUUGUGGUGAUGUCUGGAACACCAACAAAUGCCAAAAUGGGAGACUCAUGUGGGUGUACCUCAAAUAUUGGGAACUAAUUGUCGAACUGAAAAAGUUCAAGAGAAUAGAGAAGGCCAUACUAGAAAAGUAAGACAAGAGUGAGAUGAAACUUCUUUUCCUGCCUCAAGGCCUGCUGUCAUCGUCGUGCAUUGUGGGCAUCCCGUGUUUUCCGUUCAGUGCUCGCUGUGUUGUGACCUCCACUCCCGCCACGCUCUGUGAGCAGAAGCACCGCAAGGCCUCAGAGACAGCAUGUUUCCUCCUCCAUCCUCUGCAACUGUACAGAUACAGUUUCCCUGAAGCGUUUUUUAAGCUACUGGACCAUCUUAGGGAUGAGGAAGCAGACUCAGAGAACCAAAGGAAGUUGAAGUGGACCAUGGCCCUUGGCUCUGGGCUCUCUGCUCUUAGCCCCAUGCCCUGCUCAGGACAGCUGGAUGCUUUCUUCAGUGGCUACUUAUAAUAUCUUUCUGCUAUGUUGCUAUCACUUGAUCUGAGAGAGAAACCAUUUUUUAGGUAAAUCUGGUCUAAAAAGUUUCCUCUAGUUAUUUGUAUUUGCUGGUGCAUCACACCCUUGCCUAAAGAGCGCUGCAGGUUCUAGUUCCUGUUACUAUACUGACUUGCUGUUUGUCCCUGGAUUAAACACUUAGUGCUUUUUUCUUGUGUUUGUCUUUAAAUGAAGAAAAUACGAUCAGUUAUUCUGCAGCUGAAUUUCAAGGUGAAUGAUUUUCAGGGUGAAUUUUUAAUCUUUCUCAUAUUUUCUUACGACCAACAUGUUCUCAGCCUAGCUUCCUUAAACACUGAGAUAAGUAUGUUCAGAUUGUUCAAAUCAAUUUAGGCACUGGCUUAGUACUACAGGAGUGGCAUUAAGACCUGCUUGUAUUUUUGUUGGCAAGUCUGAAUGUUAAUAUGAUGCUAUCCUUAAAAUUUAUUAGCUUAGGUUUGAAAUAGUGUCACAGUGUGGCCAUUUGAUGACUUCACAGAUGAACUAAAAGAUAACUGGAUAAAGUGAGAUUAUAGUGGAACGCUAUUUAACCAAAAUGGUUUAAAGUUGCAAAAAAGAAUAGGAGCCCAAGUGCUGAGUGAUGCGUGUGCAGAAUGUGUAGUAACUUUAGAGCAAAGCAUCAUUUGUCCUGGCUGCUUUCUUGGCGGUCACAGUGACUAUAAAACCUUAAGCCACCAAGGCGGGAGGACCCUCUAGGUUAAGGAGCCUGAGCUCUAGGAGAUCCUGGGUGGAGGCGAAGCCGGGUUAUGGGAGAAGUCACCGUCACCCUCAGCAGCCAUCGAGAGUGGACUACUGUGGCGAGAAAAGGAGCUGUCGCUUUGCAUUCUUUGUUUUUGAUUGAUUUGGGGAGAGCCAAUUAUUGUGCAUGAGGGUGCAGUGGCUUAGAAAGGAAGGAUUUUGGGGAUGGUGUUCAGAUUGUGCUUCAGACUGCUCUCCUUUGGGAUGAAGUCGGAAGGCAGAGCGAUUGACCUGGACAUUCCAAACAAGAAGCAGGCGGCACUUCUCUGUGUUACUCUAGUCAGCUCAUUUAAAGAUGUGCUUUUUUCCUCCUUUGUUAAAGUUCAUAGAUACAGAUAUAUAAUUAUAUAUAUUUCAUAUGUGUGCACAUGUGUAUGUAUGUGUAUAAAAUGGAAGACACACACUGAUUUCACAAUGACAAAAUAAUUCUGCAAAUGUUGCACUAGUGAUGGGAUGUUUUGGCAGGGAAAAUAACCUCACCAGAGAAACUGUGUGUUCUUUAAAAUAUUAAUAGAAGCUAUGUCCAAUUAAAGUGUGGAACUCGCUA